AUUGAACGCUGGCGGCAUGCCUUACACAUGCAAGUCGAACGGCAGCACGGGAGCAAUCCUGGUGGCGAGUGGCGAACGGGUGAGUAAUAUAUCGGAACGUGCCCAGUCGUGGGGGAUAACGUAGCGAAAGCUACGCUAAUACCGCAUACGAUCUAUGGAUGAAAGCGGGGGAUCGCAAGACCUCGCGCGAUUGGAGCGGCCGAUAUCAGAUUAGGUAGUUGGUGAGGUAAAGGCUCACCAAGCCGACGAUCUGUAGCUGGUCUGAGAGGACGACCAGCCACACUGGGACUGAGACACGGCCCAGACUCCUACGGGAGGCAGCAGUGGGGAAUUUUUGGACAAUGGGCGCAAGCCUGAUCCAGCAAUGCCGCGUGCAGGAUGAAGGCCUCGGUGUAGUAGACUUUAAGUUAGGGUAGGAAGGGUAGGUAACCGUAAU
rnacentral:rRNA from 1 species